ACGAAGAUUGAAAAAACUUGGUGGAUAUGCAAAUGAGAAUCUCAAAAUAUGGGUGAUAGAAAAUGAGAUAAGGGAUUGCGUUGAUGGAAAUGCAACGACAAUGGCGAGUGAGAAUGAGGACGAUGAGAAAUUUGUCAUCAAUCUAAACAAAGAUGUUAUUAAACGAGUUGAUGGUGGGAACUUAAUGGAGAUGGAUAAAACCUUUCAACAAUUAAAGACACAUCUAAUUGAUAUGGCUUAUGGUGCAAGUAGUAGUAGUUGUGAUCAAAUUUUGGCUAAAUUUGAGGAGAAUUAUACUACAGUGAAAGGUCUCUUCCUUAGGUCAAGCGGAAAACCUUUGAGAAUGCACGAGGAAGGAACGAAGAAUGACAUGCUCUCAUGCAAGAGAAGUUUGGAAGAUACGAACAAUAUGAAUGUGAAUGAACAUUAUCUUCACACUUUGUCAAAUGAGAAGUUAU